CAAUAGCGUAUAUUAAAGUUGUUGCGGUUAAAAAGCUCGUAGUUGGAGUUCUGCCAGGUGCCGCCUGUCCGCCCCAGUGGUGAGUACGUGGCGCGCAUUUGGCCCUUUCAAGGGGAGCGUAUCUGCACUUUAUUGUGUGGUGCGGGAUCCUUGACUUUUACUUUGAGGAAAUAGGAGUGUUCCAAGCAGGCUCUCGUCGUGCACAGCUCAGCAUGGAAUAAUAGCAUUGGACCUCGAUUCUAAGCUGUUGGUUGCCAGAAGCGAGGUAAUGAUGAAGAGGGAUAGUUGGGGGCAUUCGUAUUUAACUGUCAGAGGUGAAAUUCCUGGAUUUGUUAAAGACGGACUACUGCGAAAGCAUCUGCCAUGGAUGUUUUCAUUGA
rnacentral:rRNA from 1 species